CAGUAGCCACGGUAAUACGAAGGGUGCAAGCGUUAAUCGGAAUUACUGGGCGUAAAGCGUGCGUAGGCGGUUUGUUAAGUCUGCUGUGAAAUCCCCGGGCUCAACCUGGGAAUGGCAGUGGAUACUGGCGAGCUAGAGUGUGUCAGAGGAUGGUGGAAUUCCCGGUGUAGCGGUGAAAUGCGUAGAGAUCGGGAGGAACAUCAGUGGCGAAGGCGGCCAUCUGGUACAACACUGACGCUGAGGCACGAAAGCGUGGGGAGCAAACAGGAUUAGAUACCCCCGUAGUCCCUGUCUCUUAUAC
rnacentral:rRNA from 1 species